rnacentral:rRNA from 1 species
AGUGAACGCUGGCGGUAGGCCUAACACAUGCAAGUCGAACGGCAGCACAGUAAGAGCUUGCUCUUACGGGUGGCGAGUGGCGGACGGGUGAGGAAUACAUCGGAAUCUACUUUUUCGUGGGGGAUAACGUAGGGAAACUUACGCUAAUACCGCAUACGACCUACGGGUGAAAGCAGGGGAUCUUCGGACCUUGCGCGAUUGGAUGAGCCGAUGUCGGAUUAGCUAGUUGGCGGGGUAAAGGCCCACCAAGGCGACGAUCCGUAGCUGGUCUGAGAGGAUGAUCAGCCACACUGGAACUGAGACACGGUCCAGACUCCUACGGGAGGCAGCAGUGGGAAUAUUGGACAAUGGGCGCAAGCCUGAUCCAGCCAUACCGCGUGGGUGAAGAAGGCCUUCGGGUUGUAAAGCCCUUUUGUUGGGAAAGAAAAGCAGCAGGUUAAUACCCCGCUGUUCUGACGGUACCCAAAGAAUAAGCACCGGCUAACUUCGUG